CUGCAACUUGGCACCGGCAGGAAAGAAGACUAACUCAUUGAACAAGCUGCCUGCUUGGAAUCCGGUUGAUGCAGUUUUUAAAACUGCGGGAUCUUCCGUUAGGAAUCCAACUAAUGACAGCCGCCUCCCCCUGAAAUGCAUCUGCAGGGAGCCCCGAUGCCGAUGCCGCAGAAAGGAUCCCCGAGAUCUCCUGGGAGAAAGACCUUCGUGGCCUUUGCAGCCAACAUCAGACUUUGAAGAAGAGAAGACAAAUGCUGCCGGGAGAGGACCGGACACAGAGGCCUCCUGCAUUCCUUUUUCUGCGUGUCGGGCUCAAGAUAAGUUUUUCCAUGAAGCAGUCCAACCCCUGUUGCUGCAAGACCUGGUUUUGUGUGGGUUUUUUUUUUUCCUUAAACAAGUCAGUAAACUCACUGGAACUUCUGUCGAGUCUGGUGACUGUAUACAUGGGUGCAAAUUUAACUUGACACGUUACUUUCUUUCUAGAAAACAAUUUAUAUUCAAACAACCAUGGAAUCCCAGCAUUGAAAGGGCCUUAGCAGCCAUCCAGCCCAAACACCAAGUUUCCCAGAGCAGCUGAGCCGAGGUCCCAGAGUUAGAUAUUUCUCAUGUCCCUCUGAACAUCAUCAGAUUGAGGGGACUGAGACCCAGAGGCUCCGCGAGGAGAGUUUGAAUCAGGCCAGUUGGGUUCCAUCGCCUACAAGCCUCUACACUCUGUCAGUCAUCCCACGCGACUAGAACAUUUGGACAAACUCAAGAAAAAAGCAGGGGGGAAAUAACUUUUAAAAAGAGAUUA